rnacentral:rRNA from 1 species
CUAGUCUUAUCGGUGGAUCACUCGGCUCGUGGAUCGAUGAAGAACGCAGCCAACUGCGAUAAUUAGUGUGAACUGCAGAAACCUUGAACACAGAACUUUCGAAUGCACAUUGCGCCAUUGGAGUGACAUCCAUUGGCACGCCUGGUUCAGGGUCGUAACC